rnacentral:rRNA from 1 species
CAGCCGCCGCGGUAAUACGGAGGGUGCAAGCGUUAUCCGGAUUUAUUGGGUUUAAAGGGUCCGUAGGCGGAUCUGUAAGUCAGUGGUGAAAUCUCACAGCUUAACUGUGAAACUGCCAUUGAUACUGCAGGUCUUGAGUAAAUUUGAAGUGGCUGGAAUAAGUAGUGUAGCGGUGAAAUGCAUAGAUAUUACUUAGAACACCAAUUGCGAAGGCAGGUCACUAAGAUUUAACUGACGCUGAUGGACGAAAGCGUGGGGAGCGAACAGGAUUAGAUACCCCCGUAGUUCCUGUCUCUUAUAC